GUCUUUGGGGCAGGGUGAGAUUCCCUACCGGCGGUAAAGCCCGCGAGCCCUUGUGGCACGAUCCGGUGCAAUUCCGGAGCCGACAGUAUAGUCUGGAUGAGAAAAGAC
rnacentral:ncRNA from 1 species